rnacentral:rRNA from 1 species
GAUGAACGCUGGCGGCGUGCCUAAUACAUGCAAGUCGAGCGAACAGACGAGGAGCUUGCUCCUCUGACGUUAGCGGCGGACGGGUGAGUAACACGUGGAUAACCUACCUAUAAGACUGGGAUAACUUCGGGAAACCGGAGCUAAUACCGGAUAAUAUAUUGAACCGCAUGGUUCAAUAGUGAAAGACGGUUUUGCUGUCACUUAUAGAUGGAUCCGCGCCCCAUUAGCUAGUUGGUAAGGUAACGGCUUACCAAGGCAACGAUGCGUAGCCGACCUGAGAGGGUGAUCGGCCACACUGGAACUGAGACACGGUCCAGACUCCUACGGGAGGCAGCAGUAGGGAAUCUUCCGCAAUGGGCGAAAGCUUGACGGAGCAACGCCGCGUGAGUGAUGAAGGUCUUCGGAUCGUAAAACUCUGUUAUUAGGGAAGAACAAAUGUGUAAGUAACUAUGCACGUCUUGACGGUACCUAAUCAGAAAGCCACGGCUAACUACGUG